GAUGUAAGUGAGAUUUUUAAAACUUUUAGGAUGCUAGUUGAUAUUAGGAUAAAUCCCAAAAUCAAACCAUGAAAUUAACUACUACUUGUAGUUGGGUUCUGAGGAAUAAGGAUACGUUAGCGACCCAAGAAAGAACACACUCAACAGAAAAGAAGUGCAAAACAAGGAUCAAAAUCAAAACGAAAAUGGCGGCUGCUGCUGCUGCUUCUUCUUCUUCAAUUGCUAAUAACCGCUUAGUUCGUCAUCGUCCCCGUGGCAUCUUCAAGCAUAAUCAUCAGCCCAUCAUCUCUGUUCCGCUCAGACGCCAGCAAUCAUCAUCUACAUCAUUGUCUGUCCAACUUCAACCACCAAAAGAAUCUGGAUUUGGGAUUUUGUGGAAGAGGAAGGAGGACGAGAAGGGCCGGCUGGGAAGUCUUGCAGCUGUUCGACAGUUGACUGGGUCACUUACAACUGCUGAGGGUCUCCACUUUGGCAUUGUGGUGGCUCGCUUCAAUGAAAUUGUCACAAAGCCACUGUUGGAGGGAGCUUUGGACACUUUCAAAAAGUACUCGGUCAAAGAAGAAGAUAUCGAUGUUGUGUGGGUUCCAGGUAGUUUUGAAAUUGGUCUGGUUGCAGAGAAACUUGGAAAGUCAAGAAAGUAUCAAGCCAUCUUAUGUAUUGGAGCUGUGAUUAGAGGUGAUACUUCCCAUUAUGAUGCUGUAGCAAAUUCAGCUGCAUCUGGAGUACAGUCUGCAGGCCUUAAUUCUGGUUAGUCGAUGUUAAUGCAGGUGUUCCAUGCGUAUUUGGUGUUUUGACCUGUGAUGACAUGGAGCAGGCUCUCAAUCGAGCUGGUGGUAAGUCUGGAAAUAAAGGUGCUGAAGCAGCGCUGACAGCUAUUGAAAUGGCUUCCUUGUUUGAACACCAUCUGAAAUUUUAGGAAGCAGGCGCUGUCCACCAACAUUAGAGCUUUGUACUGUUGUAAUUCCUCUCUUCUGAGCCCUUCUCAGCAGGCAGAGUAGGAUUCCUUACUCCAGAGAUUUUGUGUUGUAAUUCCCUGCAUGCAGUUGGUCGUGGGCUACAUUGGGUUACAUGGAAUAUUUGUUGGGAUUUUUGUAAACCUUAUAUAACAGUUUCUCCUAUACUCAUGCACUACGUUGGUUUCUAAUUUGAUGUUUGUAGGGAUUUUUGUCAAUUUGUAAACAAACUUGUUGGUGAAAUUAGUGCCAGUUUCUUGUCAAGCGUGGUAACUUAAGUAGCAAUCUAGUAGCAUUGGGCAA